rnacentral:rRNA from 1 species
AGCGAACGCUGGCGGCAGGCCUAACACAUGCAAGUCGAACGAACCUUUCGGGGUUAGUGGCGGACGGGUGAGUAACACGUGGGAACGUGCCUUUAGGUUCGGAAUAACUCAGGGAAACUUGUGCUAAUACCGAAUGUGCCCUUCGGGGGAAAGAUCUAUCGCCUUUAGAGCGGCCCGCGUCUGAUUAGCUAGUUGGUUGAGGUAAUGGCUCACCAAGGCGACGAUCAGUAGCUGGUCUGAGAGGAUGAUCAGCCACAUUGGGACUGAGACACGGCCCAAACUCCUACGGGAGGCAGCAGUGGGGAAUCUUGCGCAAUGGGCGAAAGCCUGACGCAGCCAGGCCGCGUGAAUGAUGAAGGUCUUAGGAUUGUAAAAUUCUUUCACCGGGGACGAUAAUGACGGUACCCGGAGAAGAAGCCCCGGCUAACUUCGUG